CAGGGUGUAGCUAUAACGCAAAGCACUCAGCUUACACCUGAGAGAUACCUACCACCCCCUAGGUCACCCUGA
rnacentral:tRNA from 1 species